GACUGUGGUCCCAAACAGUUCUCUGAUCCAAGCCCCUAGUUCACAAUGGAAGCCCUGAUUUCUCUCAAACCUGCGAUGCCAAAUUGGAAGUCGUUGACGACGGUGCCGGCGCCGGAGCCGAAUCGGUCCUCGACGUCUCCUGCCAAAGCCUGGACUUUCCGAUCGGUGAGAACUCCGGUGCGUACAAUUUACUGCCUAAAUCCAUCGCGGGACUAAAAGGCUUGAAGACGCUGAGGUUUUUCAGCAACGAGAUCAAGCUGUUCUCGUCGCCAGAGAUCGGCGGCUUCGUAAGGCUAGAAUGCGUGAGGAUCUCGUCGCCGGAGUUCGACGGUUUGCCGCUGCACAAAUUCAAAAGGAUGAAGGAGCUUGAGCUCUCCAUGGUGACAUCUCGUUGCUCGGCGGUUCCCAUUUUGAGCGAGAUCGCCGGACUCAAGCUCCUCCGCACAAAGCUAUCGGU
rnacentral:lncRNA from 1 species